GAUGAACGUUUGCGGCGUGCUUAACACAUGCAAGUCGAGCGAAGCACCUUGACGGAUUUCUUCGGAUUGAAGCCUUGGUGACUGAGCGGCGGACGGGUGAGUAACGCGUGGGUAACCUGCCUCAUACGGGGGGAUAACAGUUGGAAACGGCUGCUAAUACCGCAUAAGCGCACAGUACCGCAUGGUACGGUGUGAAAAACUCCGGUGGUAUGAGAUGGACCCGCGUCUGAUUAGGUAGUUGGUGGGGUAACGGCCUACCAAGCCGACGAUCAGUAGCCGACCUGAGAGGGUGACCGGCCACAUUGGGACUGAGACACGGCCCAAACUCCUACGGGAGGCAGCAGUGGGGAAUAUUGCACAAUGGGGGAAACCCUGAUGCAGCGACGCCGCGUGAGCGAUGAAGUAUUUCGGUAUGUAAAGCUCUAUCAGCAGGGAAGAAAACGACGGUACCUGACUAAGAAGCCCCGGCUAACUACGUGCCAGCAGCCGCGGUAAUACGUAGGGGGCAAGCGUUAUCCGGAUUUACUGGGUGUAAAGGGAGCGUAGACGGCAUGGCAAGCCAGAUGUGAAAGCCCGGGGCUCAACCCCGGGACUGCAUUUGGAACUGUCAGGCUAGAGUGUCGGAGAGGAAAGCGGAAUUCCUAGUGUAGCGGUGAAAUGCGUAGAUAUUAGGAGGAACACCAGUGGCGAAGGCGGCUUUCUGGACGAUGACUGACGUUGAGGCUCGAAAGCGUGGGGAGCAAAACAGGAUUAGAUACCCUGGUAGUCCACGCCGUAAACGAUGGAUACUAGGUGUCGGGUGGCAAAGCCAUUCGGUGCCGCAGCAAACGCAAUAAGUAUUCCACCUGGGGAGUACGUUCGCAAGAAUGAAACUCAAAGGAAUUGACGGGGACCCGCACAAGCGGUGGAGCAUGUGGUUUAAUUCGAAGCAACGCGAAGAACCUUACCUGGUCUUGACAUCCCUCUGACCGCUCUUUAAUCGGAGCUUUCCUUCGGGACAGAGGAGACAGGUGGUGCAUGGUUGUCGUCAGCUCGUGUCGUGAGAUGUUGGGUUAAGUCCCGCAACGGGCGCAACCCCUAUCUUUAGUAGCCAGCAUUUAAGGUGGGCACUCUAGAGAGACUGCCAGGGAUAACCUGGAGGAAGGUGGGGAUGACGUCAAAUCAUCAUGCCCCUUAUGACCAGGGCUACACACGUGCUACAAUGGCGUAAACAAAGGGAAGCGAGCCCGCGAGGGGGAGCAAAUCCCAAAAAUAACGUCUCAGUUCGGAUUGUAGUCUGCAACUCGACUACAUGAAGCUGGAAUCGCUAGUAAUCGCGAAUCAGAAUGUCGCGGUGAAUACGUUCCCGGGUCUUGCACA
rnacentral:rRNA from 1 species